rnacentral:lncRNA from 1 species
CCCCCGGACCGCCGCCGGCACGCUGCGGCCGCUAGGGGGCGCCGGGACUCGGGGAGGCCGCCACGGCGCCGCUCGGCGGAGGAGAUGCUGAGCGGGCCGGGGGCGGGAGGGCUGUGUCGGCUGUGCCGGCUGUGUCGGCUGUGCCUGCUGUGCCUGCUGUGCCUGCUGUGCCUGAAGGGAAGCUGUCUCGGCCCUUUGUAUAUAGGAGUGCUGUGCUACACAGUUCUGGGGGACCCAUUGCUACCAUUGUGCACACGCAUGUGUUGACACAGAAUGGAGUGUUUGGUGGAGGGAUGUCCUUCGUCUCUUCUCUCUUCAGAGCAGUUCUGAAUGCCAGCAACACAUUCUCCUCUGGUAUCCUUCGAAUACCUGGGAAUAUCCUUAAAUCCAGUAGGACAAAUAAAAAGAAAGCAACAACAACAACAACAACAAAAAAGGAAAAGAGUGGGAACAGAAAGCUGAAGCCUUUUUUUUUGUAAUGCAAUGUUGUGAUUUCCCUCCUCGCUGCCAACAAAAGCAACAGUUUGAAUUUUGUCUGAUAUUUCAACUUCCAUUUCAAAGCAGUUUACGGAUUAGCAGAGGAACCACCAUAACAUGAAUAGUAACAAAGAGUAAGAAAAACAACAGAAGGAGAAGAUGCAAAAUCUCUGUAAGAAAACAUUGUGCAUCUCACUGGCAAACAGCUCAGCCCCUGGAGUACAACAGUCUGUUCGUUACCUUUGUAGCCUCCACACCCAAGAAUCACAGCAGUUCAAGUGAAACAAGAUCUGAACUGGGCAGAUCAUUUGCAACACACCUUUUCUAGCAACACUUGGAAGCAGAACUUUCUGUGAGCUCUGAACUUACACUGCAAAAGGGAAGAAUAAAGAAACAAAGCAUUUUUUCA